rnacentral:misc_RNA from 1 species
GAAAAGUUCAAUAAACAUAAAAGAUAAUUUCCAAUUGAAUUCUUACAACAAUCUGUUAGCAUUUCCAUACACUUCAUCUUGCAAAUGAAGUAUUAGUAGAAUUAAAUGCAAAUCAAAUGGAUCAUUAGUUAAUUUCAUUUCAAAUAUAGUGUAAACUCGCUCCAAUAAGAACCGAAACAUCAAAUUAAAUCACCCAAGUUCCCUAGCUAAACAAAGUUCAAGACAAAGGAUAUUUACAGGCAUGCUAGAAAU